rnacentral:tRNA from 1 species
GUUCCUGUAGUUGAAAUUUAAACAACAAUGGCUUUUCAGGCCAUUGGUCUUGGGGAGGUGCCAAGUAGGAACU